rnacentral:rRNA from 1 species
CUAAGAAUAUUCCGCAAUGGACGGAAGUCUGACGGAGCGACGCCGCGUGGAUGAAGAAGGCCGAAAGGUUGUAAAGUUCUUUUGCUGGGGAAGAAUAACCGCAGGAGGGAAUGCCUGCGGGAUGACAAGAACCGGCGAAUAAGCCCCGGCCAACUACGUGCCAGCAGCCGCGGUAACACGUAGGGGGCGAGCGUUGUUCGGAAUUACUGGGCGUAAAGGGCAUGUAGGCGGCUUGGAAAGCCUGGCGUGAAAGUCUGCAGCUUAACUGCAGGGGUGCGCUGGGAACUGCUGAGCUUGAGUGACGGAGAGGGAGCUGGAAUUCCUGGUGUAGGGGUGAAAUCUGUAGAUAUCAGGAAGAACACCGAUGGCGAAGGCAAGCUCCUGGCCGAUGACUGACGCUGAGGUGCGAAAGUGUGGGGAUCAAACAGGAUUAGAUACCCUGGUAGUCCACACAGUCAACGAUGUGCACUAGGUGCUGGGGCGGUAGCUUCGGUGCCGGAGCGAACGUGGUAAGUGCACCGCCUGGGGAGUAUGCUCGCAAGGGUGAAAACUCAAAGGAAUUGACGGGGGUCAUANCUG